rnacentral:lncRNA from 1 species
UUGUAUAAAAUCAAAGACUAAAAAAAAUGCAAAUCACAUGCUAGAAACUUAUAGAUUACCAAUUUUUUUUUGCAUAAGCCAAUCAUUAUCAUCUCCCGGUAACCUGAUGAACCACAACUCGCAUCUGAAGCAAUCACCUCUAAAUUAAAUAAUUAAUAUGUGCAGUGGCCAUGCGUAACAGGCUUGAAUCAUGGACAUCUCGGAUACAUGUUGUCUUACAUUGCCUGUGGAAAAUGAGGACCGACCGUAGUGCUGCGAGUGCCAUAGUGAUGGGGAAUGUGACCAACAAUCACCGGUCAAUGCUAUGGAGAAGAAGUGAGAAUUUUUGAGCAUGAACCACCACCUUCAUGUUGAUUGAGUUUCUCUAGCAAGGGCGUGAGGGCAGCCAAUCGACAAGUUGAUUGAGUUGCUCUAGGCGCUGCAUCCUCUCCCUCUCCUGUGCCUACUCCACCGCCAUCAGUUUGAGAUACAAGAGGCCAAUGGAAAAAUUCCAAACAAUUAGCACAAUGGUAUAAUCAAUGCAUCUAGUUUGGGAGGUGUCAGCAUAAUAGCAUUAUUGUAACACCCAAAAUUUCAUUCCUUUAAAAUAGAUGAAUUGGAUUUAAUUAAAUAAUUUUUUGUGAGCAUAAGAAAUAUAAGAAAAAUAAAUAAAUUUGGGGAAUUAAAAUUUAAUAUAAGUUUAGAAACAUUUUGAUGCAUUCAUGCAGCAACAUUUUAUUUUUGGUGUUGUGUGGUUUUAAGCAAAAGAAGAUUUGAAUUCAAAUAAAAUUUGAUUAUGUAUUUGAAAAUUGGUUUGAAAUUGAAGAGGGCAAAAUCCUUCUUUCUCCCCCCUCCUCUCUCACUUUUGGCCUGCUCGGCCCAAACCCUGCACCCCUUCUUCUCUCUUUGGGCCAAGCCCAGCCGGCCUCCCCCACCCUCUCCCUCUCUCUCGCCGACAGAUGGGGUCCAUCUGUCAGCUCCUUCCCCUCCAACCGCCUCCUCUCUCUCCCCUCUCUCUCGGUUCAGAACCGCAGGCCCCCGCUCCCCACGAUCCUUCUCCCUCCCCCGCGCCUUGCUCUUUUGGCCGCGCUUGAGCCCGAGUCGCCUUCUCGCUCCUAUUUCGCUCUCUCUUCCGCUACGACUCCCGCGCGGAGCGCAGUGAGCUGCUGCAUAGCCCGCCGGAGCGCCACCACGAUCCACCGCCCGCCGUCCUGCGAAACCGAGCCGUAUCCGCCUCCGAUUUUCACCGUGGUGAGCGCGCCUCCUUCCCCUCUCCCUCUUCGGCUUUCUCCCGUGCGUUUUGGUGCUUUCUAGGGCCGUCCCCACGAGCUCCGUUGGGUCCUUCAAUGGCGCCUCCGUCGGCCGCCUUGUAGGGAAGCUCUCGGGCCACGCCGAGGCCGAGAACGAACUCGCCUUAGUUACACCACAACACCAACAUAGGCGCCGAACCAUCUGACACGAAAAGCCGUUACAGCCUCACAUGAUCUGACGCAAAAAAGAUAUAGCGUCAGUCCUGAGCUGACGCAGUAAGUCCUGACGCUAAAGACUUAUUGCAUCAGACCAGAGUUUUUUGCGUCAGACAGCAUGCCACCAAGAUUUGUGUCGAGGGUAUCGGUAAGGGGUACCCUCAGCGAUGCGCAUUAUGAGAUUGCCCAUACGAAGGUUGGGACCCCCAAUUCGACGCCUUAAUCUUGCUUACGCGCUGCCAACGACGGUCGCAGCCUCGAAUACGGAAAUAAGCGUCGAGCGAAUCGGUCAGGGCUCGAGGAACGACUACCGUCGAAGACGGAGGCGGGCUCGAGCGAACCGAGAGACAUCGAGCGUUGGGACACUGUCCGCCGCCUGACGCGCGCACGCGGGCGGGAGCAUUAAAUGCAUCUGACGUUUCCCACCUAACACACAGGUCAUGGGAGGCGUGAUAGGGAGCAAGCUUCUGUCCCAUCGUUCUUUUUGCAGCCUUCCCACCGAACGACCCAGGGCGUGUCAGGACGCAGGAAACAAGGAUGGAACGUCUAAUCGUGACCCCCUCGAGAUACCCAAGGUCAGCGCUCCAGAUACCAGCGUAUUACAGGGCGUCCGACCCUCGACCAAACAGGGUCCCUACUCAGGAACAAGUUGGGCGUCGACUAAACUUCAUCACAGCUACGCCGUCGGGUCCGCCACCACACCGUACAAGCGUGCGACCUCAGGACCGGCACAAGGCGGCUGGCAGGGCAGAACACAGGAGCACGCGUAAUCAUCACCGAGCUAUCAAGAUGGGACGGCUCGAGGCCAUGCCGUACGGAAGCCUCGAGUAGGUCAGCGCUCCAUGCGGCUAUCGAUCCCUACUCUAACAUCUAUGCAUGUACCCUGUGUCUCUCCUUGGAGCUAUAAAAGGAGGGACUCAGGAAUAGAAGAGGGACAGAUCACAACACAUGAACACGCACACUACUACGCAGUAGAGCAGCGCAGUUCAUACCACGCUUGUAUUCACCCCUGUACAAGCACUUAGGUGCAAGAUAAUACAAACUCUCUCCCCCCCCGCUGGACGUAGGGCCUUCUCUUGCCCGAACCAGGAUAAAUCUCAGUGUCUUCUUGCAUCACCAUCCGGAAAGGGGAGCACGCAUACAAAUUUACUCGUUGGUGUGACCCCCCGGGGGAUAAAACACCGACAGUUGGCGCGCCAGGUAGGGGUCCUGCGUGUUUUUCACCGAUUUCCCACCACUUUCCGGAUGGCUACUCCUGCCUCGCCGCUUCCGCACUCCACGGUGAUUUGGUUUGGGAGUCUCGAGUUCAUGUCUACGGGCUUCGGCUACGACAUGAUCUUGCUCUCGGUCAAAGGACCAGGAGGAGUCCGCGUUACGCCAGCACGGUUGAAGGCUCCAAGACGCCCUCACCACCACGCCUCCCCGCCUAAGAAGAGGCGCGGGCAGCACCACCGCGGCCCCCUUGCUUCGGCACGACCAACAACUCGUGCAAGGCAGGAUGCGGGCCACGGGUCGGCAGCACCGUCUGACCGAGCAACAAGUGCGACGACUCAGCACCACGCGACGACGGGGGGAGACGCGUCUUGCGCACCCUCCCCCACCGCAGCUAGGCUACCUCCACGCGGGUUGUUCUCUCCAAGGACGGCACUGCCGUUCGGAUUGGACAACGCCGCGGCAUCGCUCGCCAAGACGAUAUGCCCAAACACUCAGACAUACGUGGAAAGACCAAUGGUCAUUCCACGUAGUUCCGAAGAGCAGCGGCCGACGUCCGAACUGCCGGACCUUUCCAGAGUACGAGGCCUCCGCCGUCUAGGCCCCGGACGAUACUCGAUCACCUCCCUCAGGCAGCGAUGGCUGGAGGAAGGACGUGGGUAUUUCCACGCUGCCGAACCGGACUCCGACUCCGAGACAAACAGCUAUGACCCUACGAGGGAAUGCUAUCACCUCGACGGGGCGGCAGAAACCACCGACGAGACACGGGAUGCUGUUGCGGGCGGUCGAGCCCCCGCGGCGCAAGAAGACCCCAGGACGCCUGGGAACGACGGACGGCUCGACCCUCUUCCUCAUGAAGAUAGAACUGCGCAGCUCGCACAGCUGCGGGAGCUCAAGAUGAAGCUCGACGAAGAUCGCGAGCGCCUCGUCCUACUCGAGCAAAUCCUCGAACAAGACCUGCCCUACCCGCCGGGCGGAAGUGUCCGCAGACGCGCUCGAGAGGUACAUCGACAGAUCGUCGGCGAUACAGAGGCGGAGCAACUUGUCAGCCGCUUCCCUCGAGCGGGCCAGAAUGUAGUGGCAGCAACCAUGCUGCUACGAAACAUGCCAGAACCGUCAAGUUCCCAGGCCCGACGAAUUCGAGAUGAAGUUCAGACGUUGCUCCAGGUGGCAGCAGUUCAACAAGCCGAAAGUUCGGCAUCUCGACGACGAGGAGCUGCCACAGAGAAGCGCAACGAACAGCCUCUAAUCGAAGAGGAAGUGUCUGUCCAGCAACAACCUCCCCCUCGAGGUAGAAAGACCGCUCUCAUCCUCCCCGCCGACAAUCAACGUCGACACGACGCGCGACACGACGUCAAAGAAAAUAGACGCCGCCGGCACGGAGACGCGGAAGAACGUGGUUAUAGCGCGCAUCGCGGCGGGAGGUACGACAGCGACGAGGACCGGGUGGCCCCCGAACCUCCGGGCCCGCGGGUGUUCAGCAGGGCGAUUCGCAGCACGCCCCUGCCCAGUCCAUUCCGACCCCCAACCAGCAUCGCGAAGUACAAUGGAGAAACCAAGCCAGAGCUAUGGUUGGCCGAUUUCAGGCUGGCUUGUCAGCUAGGAGGCGCUCGGGGAGAUGAUCGAGCCAUCAUCAGACAGCUACCCCUUUUCCUCUCCGACACCGCCCGUCGAUGGCUCGAGGAACUCCCGGCCAAUCAGAUUCACAACUGGGUCGACCUGGUCAGAGUCUUCGAGGGUAAUUUCAAAGGGACCUAUAUACGGCCAGGGAACUCGUGGGACCUCAGCAAAUGCAAACAGAAGUCAGGGGAGACUUUACGGGAGUACGCUCGACGCUUCUCGAAGCAGCGCACUGAGUUACCACACACCCCCGACCACGACGUCAUCUUGGCGUUUGUCUCAGGCACCACCAGUCGAGACUUGGUGCGGGAAUUAGGCCGCAAUCGACCUCAGACCGUCGACGAGCUGAUGGACGUAGUAGCUAACUACGCGGCAGGGGAGGAGGCAGUCGGCGCCUUCUUCAGCUCAGAAGGAAGAAAAGGCAAGCAGCCCGUCGAUGAAGAUGGGACUUCCAGUCGAGGCCUCAAGAAAAGUAAAAGGAAGCAGAAAGUACGGCAGUUCCACCAGGGAGAUUCGGGCGACGACCUCGUCGCCACGAUGGAUCGAAAGAAGCCGCGAGGCCCUCCGGAGGGAGGCAUCUUCGACAAGAUGUUGGAGGAGCCGUGCCCUUACCAUAAGGGAGGCGCUAACCACAAACUCAAGGAUUGUCGCAUGCUGAGAAAGCAUUUCGACGGUCAGGGGCUCAAAAAAGAUGCGCGUGAUGACUCCAAGAAGGAGAAGGCUGGCGGCAAGGAGGACAACAAAGAUGACGACGGCUUCCCCGCCGUCCACGACUGCUACAUGAUCUAUGGCGGGCCUUCGACUCAGUUGACCACGAGGCAACGCAAGAGGGAGCGUCGCGAAGUCUUUGCAGCAAGGAUGGCGGUGCCCCAGUAUCUUAGCUGGUCAAGCACUCCCAUCACCUUUGACCGAGAGGAUCACCCCGACAAAGUGGUCGCCCCAGGCGUCUACCCGCUCGUCGUCGACCCCAUCAUCGUCAACACCCGACUCUCGAAAGUGCUGAUGGACGGCGGCAGCAGCCUCAACAUUAUCUACCUCGAGACCCUCGAUCUCCUCGGCAUCGAUAGAGAACGCCUCCAGCCGAGCGCCGGCGGCUUCCAUGGCGUCGUACCAGGGAAAAAAGCAUUGCCAGUAGGUCGAAUCGACCUACCGGUCUGCUUCGGAACGGCGGCCAACUUCAGGAAGGAGACCCUCACCUUUGAGGUGGUUGGGUUCCGAGGCACGUACCACGCCAUCAUCGGACGCCCGGGCUACGCCAAGUUCAUGGCUAUACCCAACUACACAUACUUGAAGCUGAAGAUGCCUGGUCCCAAAGGCGUCAUCACCAUCAGUUCUUCCUUCGAGCACGCGUACGAGUGCGACGUCGAGUGCGUCGAGUACGGGGAGGCGGUCGAGAGCUCCACCGAGCUCGUUGCGAAGCUCGAAGCCAUGGCCGCUGAGGCUCCAGAACCUAAACGUCAUGCGGGCAGCUUCGAGGCGGUGGAAAGUACUAAGAAGAUCCUGCUCGACCCCAACGACUCCGACGGCAAGGUGCUGACAAUCAGCACCGACCUCGACCCCAAAUAGGAAGCCGUGCUCGUCGACUUUCUCCGUGCGAAUGCUGAUAUGUUUGCAUGGAGUCCCUCGGAUAUGCCGGGCAUACCGAGGGAAGUCGCCGAGCACUCCUUGGAGAUUCGAGCCGGUUCCAAGCCAGUGAAGCAGCGGUUGCGCCGAUUCGACGAGGAAAAGCGCAAGAUCAUUGGCGAGGAAGUCCAAAAGCUUUUGACGGCCGGAUUCAUCAAGGAGGUUCAUCAUCCUGACUGGUUAGCGAACCCUGUAUUAGUUAAGAAAAAGAAUGGGAAAAUGAGGAUGUGUGUCGAUUAUACUAGUUUGAAUAAAGCAUGUCCGAAAGUUCCUUUUCCGUUACCACGCAUUGAUCAAAUUGUCGAUUCUACCGCGGGAUGUGAAACCCUUUCUUUCCUUGAUGCUUAUUCUGGUUAUCACCAAAUAAAAAUGAAAGAGUCCGACCAGCUCGCGACCUCUUUUAUCACGCCUUUCGGGAUGUUUUGCUACGUGACCAUGCCAUUUGGGCUUCGAAACGCGGGAGCAACGUAUCAACGUUGCAUGCUCCACGUAUUUGGCGAACAUAUAGGUUCAACGGUCGAGGCCUACGUCGACGACAUUGUCGUCAAGUCAAAGCAACGAGGAGACCUGAUCCAGGACCUCGAGGUUGCUUUCAGCUGCUUACGCACCAGCCGGAUCAAGCUUAAUCCCGAGAAGUGCGUUUUUGGCGUGCCUCGAGGCAUGCUCUUAGGUUACAUUGUUUCACAGCGCGGUAUCGAGGCCAACCCCGAGAAAGUCUCGGCCAUCACGAAAAUGGGGCCAAUCCGAGACAUCAAGGGUGUCCAGAGAGUCACGGGGUGCCUGGCGGCUCUGAGCCGUUUCAUCUCGAGACUAGGAGAAAAGGCAUUACCAUUAUAUCGACUCUUGAAGAAGGUCGAGCGUUUUUCUUGGACCCCCGAGGCCGAGGAAGCACUUGAAAAGCUGAAAAAGACGCUGACUUCGGCACCAGUCCUGGUUCCACCUCAACCUGCGGAGCCGCUGCUCCUCUACGUCGCGUCGACAACCCAGGUCGUCAGCGCGGCGGUGGUGGUCGAAAGACAAGAAGAGGGUCACGCGCUGCCAGUCCAAAGGCCGGUCUAUUUCGUCAGUGAGGUGCUUUCGGAGACCAAGGCGCGUUAUCCCCAAAUCCAGAAGCUGAUCUACGCCGUAAUCCUUGCCCGCCGUAAAUUACAACAUUAUUUCCUUGGUCAUCCUAUCACGGUGGUCUCUUCUUUCCCUUUGGGCGAAAUAAUCCAGAGCAAGGAGGCCAUGGGAAGGAUAGCGAAGUGGUCGGUCGAGCUCAUGAGCGAGACUCUCGCUUAUGCGCCUCGAAAGGCCAUCAAAUCGCAAGCCCUGGUAGACUUCGUCGCAGAAUGGACGGACUCCCAGCUUCCCCCGACUCAGGUCCAGGCGGAGCUGUGGACAAUGUAUUUCGACGGGUCACUCAUGAAAACUGGGGCCGGGGCCGGCCUACUGUUCAUCUCACCCUUGGGCGUCCACAUGAGGUACAUAAUCAGAAUUCAUUUCGCCGCAUCUAACAAUGUCGCAGAAUAUGAGGCCCUCGUCAACGGUCUCAAGAUCGCUAUUGAGUUAGGAGUCCGACGCCUCGACGUCCGAGGCGACUCCCAACUCGUCAUCGACCAGGUAAUGAAAGCCUCGAGUUGCCAUGACCCAAAAAAGGAAGCAUACUGCAAGGAGGUGCGUCGACUCGAAGACAAAUUCCACGGCCUCGAGCUCGUCCAUGUCGCUCGACGCUACAACGAGGCAGCCGACGAACUCGCCAAGAUUGCAUCUACCAGAGGCACAGUGCCGCCAGACGUAUUCUCAAAGGAUCUACAUGAGCCAUCCGUCGACUUAGGCACGGGGGCUGGCGCCGAUACCACCAUUGCCCAACCAACCAAUGCUGUCAAUGCGCUCUUGAUGGAGGAAGAGGUGAUGGAAAUAGAACGACGACCGGGUCGACCAUUCGAUUGGCGCACACCGUUCCUCGACUGCCUUAUCCGCGGUGAGUUGCCAGAAGACAGGACAGAAGCUCGCCGUAUCGCUCGACGGGCCAAAUCAUAUGUGAUCUAUGGUGAAGACAACGAGCUAUAUCGACGGAGCCCGACGGGAAUCUUACAGCGUUGCAUCACCAUAGAGGAAGGCCGAAAACUCCUCGACGACCUGCACUCGGGGGCUUGUGGCCACCACGCCGCCCCACGGACCCUUGUAGGAAACGCAUUUCGGCAAGGCUUUUACUGGCCAACGGCCGUGGCGGAUGCCGUCGAGCUCGUACGCUCGUGUCACGGGUGCCAAUUCUACGCCAAACAGACGCACCUGCCCGCCCAUGCCCUUCAGAUGAUCCCCAUCACCUGGCCGUUUGCGGUGUGGGGACUCGACUUAGUAGGACCUCUACAAAAGGCGAAAGGAGGGUAUACACAUUUGCUGGUGGCUAUUGAUAAGUUCUCUAAAUGGAUCGAGGCUCGACCCAUCACUAACAUCCGCUCCGAGCAGGCCGUCCUCUUCUUCUCCGACAUCAUCCAUCGAUUUGGGAUCCCCAAUGUCAUCAUCACCGACAACGGCACCCAGUUUACUGGCAGAAAGUUCUUGGAUUUCUGUGAUCAGCAUCACAUCCGUGUGAAUUGGUCCGCAGUAGCCCACCCUCGAACUAACGGCCAGGUCGAGCGUGCCAACGGCAUGAUUUUACAAGGACUCAAGCCAAGGAUCUACAAUCGAUUGAAGAAAUUCGGCAAGAGAUGGGUCGAGGAGCUUUCCUCGGUCCUAUGGAGCCUAAGGACAACGCCGAGCAGAGCCACUAAAUACACCCCGUUCUUUAUGGUCUACGGCUCUGAGGCUAUCCUCCCCACAGACCUCGAGUAUGGGUCACCUCGACUCAAGGCUUACAAUGAGCAAUCGAACAAAGAAGCUCAAGAAAACGCGGUCGACCAACUCGAGGAAGCUCGAGACAUGGCCCUCCUCAACUCUGCUAGAUAUCAGCAGAGACUCCGACGCUACCACGACAAGCACGUGCGCAAGAGGGACCUCAACGUAGGCGACCUUGUCCUACGAUGCCGGCAAAGCAACCAAGGACGCCACAAGCUAACCCCACCUUGGGAAGGCCCGUAUGUGGUGGCCGAGGUCCUUAAGCCAGGAACGUACAAAUUGGCGGACGAAAAGGGGGCAGUCUUCACCAACGCAUGGAACAUCGAACAGCUACGUCGAUUCUACCCCUAGAAGUCCUAGAUUCACGAUCCUACUUUUUGUACGAAGACUUUGUAAAUGAACGCAUGAAUAAAUAAAGUCUUUCCCUCGAGCAGUUUCUUUCUGUACCAAAAAUAGUUACGAAUUAUAGUCUCGACGUUAAAAGGGGAUGCCGACCAUGACCCAUCAUAGUCCGCACCCCCUCGGGGGCUAUCAGAGGGACGACCCCUCCCCAAGCCAAAAAGUUUCUCUAUUUCCUACUUAGUAAACCUUGAACGAUCGAGUAGUCAAGGCGCCUCGAGCCCCUCGAGGACCGAAGGAUAGCGAGCCUGAGAACACCUACGCCCACGGGCUAUGGAAACUCUACUCAAUCCCUCACCCUCGAGGCGAUCGAGGCUGUGUUUUACGAAAAAUCGAACAAGGAACACAUGUGUAGGCACAAAGGAAAUAAAGGAACAUCGAGUGGAAAGACAAACAAACAUUUAACAACCACAAAAGUACUGUAUCGCUCAAAAACAGGAUUAACUAAGUUUUAUACAAGGGGCCCCAGGCACCCCGAGCAGGCUCGCAGGCCUCAAUCCAUGGUACGAUCCUCGCCACCCUCACCUCCGCCCGAGCCAGUCUCAGGAGGAAGCACCUCAGGUUCAAAUAGCUUGGCCAGCCUUUCUCCAGGGGCCUCCGCGUCAUCGAUCAAAGUGUGAAGCCUUUCUUCGUUCUCCGCGUCGGUCUUAGAGAUGUCGGUGACGAAGCCGUGGGAUACUACCUCCAUGUCGUAGGAGAAGCCCGAGCAGACAACCGCCAUCGCCCGCUUCACCCCGAUGUGGAGGGCAUCCCGCACCCGAUCUCGCAGCGUCGCACCUAAGUAGCACAGCUGAUCGACCAGUGCGUCACCUCGAGAGUCCUCCCUCGACUCAUCCAUAGGCUCGACCUCCCAAGAGGUCGAGAGAUCGCUUAUCGCCGUCUGCACUCGGCGGUUCAAAGCAACCUCAGCCUCGAGUUGAGCCUUGGAGUUGCGAGCCUCGGCUUGGGCGGCCAGGAGUUCGUCCUUGAGCCCUACAAAUACCGAUACAAAGGAGCUUUAGAAAAAACUCAAGCACACCUCGAAAAGGAAAUUCGACAAAGGGAACAUACCUUUGAUGCUCUCCUCUAGAGCCGUGUUCUCGCCAACCAAUCUGGUAUUGGCACGCUCGAUCUCUCUGUUGGAGCGCGUCAGCUCAGUAUUGGCAACGCGGAGAUCUUCGAUCACCCUGCCAGCCUGAGCGACGGCUCCACUCUUCUCUAGCAGUUCUCCCUUCAGACGCUCGACGUCGUCGGAGAGACUGCGGGAUCGAGCUCGCUCCAUCUCGAGGUCUUCGAGGGCUUUCUUUUUUGCGUCCUCGGCGGCACCCCUGGCGACCUCACUGUCCACGAACGCCACCUUCAUCUUCUGGAAGGUAUCGCGGAGGGAGUCCAGGUCGGUCUGGAGAAGGCCCUUCUCUUUAUCCAGGUCCGCAAUGAUGCCCUUGUGGGACAGGACCUCCUCCCGGGCUCUGGACGCGGCCUCCUCGACCGUAAGAGCCCGCUCCCGUAGCCGCACCGCCUCCUCCUCCGCCUUCUUCGAGACCUCUCGGGCUUCGACCAAAGCAGCCUCCCUCACCUUCUUCUCCUCCUCGAGUGCUAUAAGAUCUUUAUAAGCUUUAAGCAGCUUUUCCUGCGACUCGAGGAGUUGAUCCUUGAGGAGGGGAAGCUGCUCCCAUCCGCCCCUCGUGGCGUGAAUGAAGCUAGAUUUGAUGCGAGAGGUCUCUUUCAUAUCCUGCGAAUCAGGGGUCAGGGGGAUUAGAACAUAGAAACCCAAAAGCACCACCAAGAUUGGAGCUCGAGAAACACUUACAAAAUAAGCUAGGCCAAGCCCGUUGUUGAUGACGUCCGAUAGGAGCCCCACCACGUGUUUCAUCCAAAGGCGGAGCUCCUCGACGUGCUCCCACUUCUCGACCUCCUUCUUGUCGUCGAGGAAGAUAUUGGGCUCAGACGGGUCGCUGGAAGCUCGGAUACGAAUCCGAUCGGGACACCAGUUCUCCAUCUCCCGAUCGGCCCGCACCUUGACGCCGCGGAGAAAGUUCUCGACAGUCUCGAGGGAACCCCCGUGGCGCAAGAACAGGUCGGCGAGGCAAGGGAACCGCCCGUCGUCAUCCACCGUCUUCCACGUACCGUCCUUGCUCCCAGACGACCCGAUCUCGUCCUCCUCAGAGGGAAAGCGGUCCUCCCACGCUCGAUGCUCCCGGAGGAACCCUGGGGCGAUCCCGUCCAUUCCGUAGAGUGUCCUCUUGAUCUCGGACUCGGGGUCGGUGGGGGUGCGCAUCAUGCAGGCGAGCGCCACCACUCCGUCCGCUCGCCCCGACUCUGCCCGGAUCGCGGCAGGCGCCCCCGGGAGAAGCCACGCUGGGGUGGGAGGCCCGUACACCGGCAAAUCUCCCUCUUGAUCGCCGGGCUCUUGUGACGCUUGCGGCGCCGGUCCGGCCAAAAUUCGAGGCGGGGGCUCGAGUGGCUCGUUCUCUUGGCCCCCCAGCUGCUGUUGCCGCCCCAGCUGCUGCUGCUGCUCGUCCUGCUGAUGCUGCAGUUGCUCCUCCGGCUGGGGUUGCUGCUGCUGCUGCUCCAGAGACGGCUGUGCCGCCUCGCGCUCCCGCGCCUCCUCCUCCCCCAUCUUCCUUUGCGUCUCGAGGGCUCGAAGGCCUGCGGGCCAGGGAGUCCGUCCUGCGACGUUGGGAGUCGACGCCUCUUCCUCCAUGGGUCGAACGCCCCCAGACGCUUCGUUACCAUCAGACGUAUCGCUGAUGGUGAUGGGUUCCCCCUCGACCCCCAAUCGAGGGGGCUCGGGGGCUCCCUCUGACGCUCGCGUCUGGGGGGUCGCAUCAUGAGCUGGUGGCGGCGGAGUGGGCGCGGGACGAGGCGAAGCCACCUCGACGCCGGCUGAAGGUUGGGUGCUUGACGGGCCUGCAAAACAAAGGGUAAGGGUCAGACGUUAUGAUAACCGACAUAAUAAUAUCGCGACACCCAGGAGUUAACUACGAACCUGGUUCCGUGGAGGCGGCACCCGUUCUGAGCCUCUUGGCCAUCGAUGGUUGGGCCUGCUCGAGGGUCCGUUUCAGCCUGAGAAAAAGUCAGCAUGUGAGGAAAGGCGAGAGAAUGAGGGGACAAAGACCGCAAUAACUAAAGGGCUUACCCCACGGGCAGAACGGCUCGCCUUCCGCCCCCCCGACCAGCGGGCCUCGAGCCACCCCGCGUCGGUGCGCUAGGCCCCUCGAGGGCAGAAAUUGACCUAGGUACGUCGGAUCCCGCUUGGCGGGCGCCGGGACUCGCGCUCCUACGACCGGUGUCUCCUUUCUCAGAGGCCGCAGCGCGACCGCAGGUCAGCGGCCCCGACGCCUGGGACCUAGCCGGACCGCUCUCCUUGGGCGCCAGGGGAGGGCGCGGUGUGUCCUGGCCCGCCUUGAGCGCGGAAGGAGCGUCGGGCCGGGGACGACGAGACCCGCUCGGACCCCCCUCCGGCGCCUCCGUCCGGGGGGCGUCGACGUCAUCUCGAGGCGGGCCCUCGAGGAUCCGAUCGAGACGCGACGCCAUCCCCUCGGAGUCGUCGCUACUCUCGUCGUCAUCAUCGUCGUCGUUGGGGGAUUCUUCCUCAGGCUCCCCCCUCUGCCUGGAUUUGGCUCGACGCGCCUCUAAUGCUUGGCGGUCGAGAUUCUUCUUCUUCUCCCCCUUUUUUGCGGAGUCCUUGGCAGACUUCGACUUCUCGGCGGAUUGGCGCCGUUUGUCGCGAUCGACCUCGUCCUCCUUUACUGGAGGCCUCGAGGACCGGACAUCAAUCCGACCCUGCCAAAACUAAGGUAGACUUAGAAAAAAAGAGAGGGGAGAGGGGAAACCUAGAAUCGAGGAUGCGCGCAAGAAGAAAGCGUACCAGAUCGAUCGAGCCUGCGUCGGGUCGCAUGGGGAAGCCGUUGACGUGCUCCGGCUUAAAAUCACCGGCAAUUGCGGCCCUGACUCGGGCCGCGACUUCAUCGUCCGUCGGAGGCUCGCUGGACAUCCGACAUGCCUCGAGGUCCCGAGACGAGACGCCAGGGCCCAUCUCGUCCAUCCUCAGCGGUCGUGACAUCAGAGGGAGAACUCUCCGAUGAUGGACGGCCGAGAGGACGAGGGCGGCGGUCAAACCUUCCUGGCGAAGCUUCUUCAGGGCGUCGAGGAGAGGGUCGAGCCGAGGCUGAUGAGCUUGGACGACGCCGUAUGUCCAGUCCGCUGGGCGCUCCAAGAUCAGACGGCCCGAGUAGGGAGGUAGGAGAUUGUCGUCGUUCCGCAGGUAGAACCAUUGAGAGUCCCAACCGGCAUGGUUGGUCGACAACCCUACCGGGAUGUACUCCCGCGGCCGGUCCGUCUUCCCCGUCUUCUGCACCAGAUUGAGGCAACCCGCUCGCACGGGUUUCCUCACGCCCGUGGUUCCGGUGGAGGCGUGAAACAGCUCGCCCCUGUAGAGGUGGAGCCACAGCUCCCAGUGCGGCAUCAUCCCUAGGAAGCCCUCACACACGGCGGCGAAGACCGCCGCCACGGUGAUGGCGUUCGGGGAGAAGUGCUGCAGCUCCACCCCAUAAUGGAAGCAGAGGGCCCGCAUGAAGCGGCUUGGAGGCGCGCCCAGACCGUGGCGGUGGAACUUGGCGAACGACACCACGUAGCCCUCGGGUGGCUGAGGCGUCCUGUGGCUCGCUGGCGGCGCGAUCCACUCUGGCGACGACAGCGAGGUGCGGCGGCGCAGCAGUCCCUCCUUCUCGAGCUCUAACAGCCGGCGCUCCGUCAUCGACGACGGGCGCCAGUCAUCGGCGGCGACGAGUCUUACGGGCAUCUUGGCUAACGGGACGGUGGGUUCGCUACGGCUCGAGGGAGCGUGUGCGCGUGAGAUGACGAGAAAGCAAAGGCAGCGAAAGAACGAGAGCGAGAAGGCGGAAGGGAGAGGAACGGCGGUGACUCGACGACAUAUUUAUAGGCAGCUGUCCGCCAACGGACAGAUCCGAGAAGUAAGGUAACUCCCCCCAUAAAUGCGCCGCCUGACAGCUCUCUCUCUCUCCUCACAGGCCGGACUCUCCGAAUUCCUCGCCGAUACGGUAUCACAACGUCAUCCGCCUAAAAAGACGCGCCCAACGGGCAGAAAUGCGAACCGCCACGACCGUUUCCUUCCCUCGUAAGCCAAGGGACAUAACCGCAAAAGUCUCGGGAGGUCGAUGGCUGGCCCGCCGAAAGGGUUCGACAGCCGAUCUCGAGCGCUAGAGUCAGGGAUCCCAGCGAGCGGUCGAAGAUCGAGGCCCGCCUCGAGGGCUCGCUGGUGAUGUUCAAGGUAGGGUCGAGACAGUCGAGAGGAAUCCCCCUGAAGGGAGGCAUCGAGCCGCUGGACUCUAUCGAAUGAGACCGGUAUCCCCGACCACGUCGACCCUGCUUUAUGAGGACGCCUCCGGGCUACAGCUGACCCCCUCGAAAGGGGCACAGGUUCUCACUUGGACUACCCGCUAAGAACUCAAUUUGGGAUGAAAGACGCUCGCUCUAUCGAGAGUACGUCGAAACCCACGGGCAAAAACGAGCCAGUCAGAAUCUUCCACCACUGGUGUCGAAAGCGUUUCUGCGAAUUAGACAACAUAACCCUCGAAGGAGUCAAAAACUCCUCCGAGGUCUCGGGGGCUACCCCGCGGGGUCGCUCGCGCGCCCCCACGAAAAUUCGACCGUAAAUCAAAACCUCCAUUCGAGCGCUAGCGCUCGAAUGAAGGCUCGGGGGCUACUGUCGAGGGUAUCGGUAAGGGGUACCCUCAGCGAUGCGCAUUAUGAGAUUGCCCAUACAAAGGUUGCGACCCCCAAUUCGACGCCUUAAUCUUGCUUACGCGCUGCCAACGACGGUCGUAGCCUCGAAUACGGAAAUAAGCGUCGAGCGAAUCGGUCAGGGCUCGAGCAACGACUACCGUCGAAGACGGAGGCGGGCUCGAGCGAACCGAGAGACAUCGAGCGUUGGGACACUGUCCGCCGCCUGACGCGCGCACGCGGGCGGGAGCAUUAAAUGCAUCUGACGUUUCCCACCUAACACACAGGUCAUGGGAGGCGUGAUAGGGAGCAAGCUUCUGUCCCAUCGUUCUUUUUGCAGCCUUCCCACCGAACGACCCAGGGCGUGUCAGGACGCAGGAAACAAGGAUGGAACGUCUAAUCGUGACCCCCUCGAGAUACCCAAGGUCAGCGCUCCAGAUACCAGCGUAUUACAGGGCGUCCGACCCUCGACCAAACAGGGUCCCUACUCAGGAACAAGUUGGGCGUCGACUAAACUUCAUCACAGCUACGCCGUCGGGUCCGCCACCACACCGUACAAGCGUGCGACCUCAGGACCGGCACAAGGCGGCUGGCAGGGCAGAACACAGGAGCACGCGUAAUCAUCACCGAGCUAUCAAGAUGGGACGGCUCGAGGCCAUGCCGUACGGAAGCCUCGAGUAGGUUAGCGCUCCAUGCGGCUAUCGAUCCCUACUCUAACAUCUAUGCAUGUACCCUGUGUCUCUCCUUGGAGCUAUAAAAGGAGGGACUCAGGAAUAGAAGAGGGACAGAUCACAACACAUGAACACGCACACUACUACGCAGUAGAGCAGCGCAGUUCAUACCACGCUUGUAUUCACCCCUGUACAAGCACUUAGGUGCAAGAUAAUACAAACUCUCUCCCCCCCCCGCUAGACGUAGGGCCUUCUCUUGCCCGAACCAGGAUAAAUCUCAGUGUCUUCUUGCAUCACCAUCCGGAAAGGGGAGCACGCAUACAAAUUUACUCGUUGGUGUGACCCCCCGGGGGAUAAAACACCGACAAUUUGUUAUUGCGUCAGACAGUCCAUUGCUAGGAUAUGGCGUCAGAUACUCUUUUGCCAUACAUAUAGCAUCAGUCCAGCCAAUAGAAUUCAUAUUUAUAGCGUCAGAUUGUUCAACAGGAUAAUUUAAAUGUAAUAAAAAAAUAAAUUCAAUUGAAAAAACAUUUAGGAUAUAUAUAUCAAAUCCACAUUAAAGCUUAAUGUCCAUCACAUAAACAUAUAUAAGCACAUACAUCACAUAGAGGUCAAUACAUACAUAUAUUAAUCUUGUCUCUUGCAUGUUUACAUCACAUUCAGCAAAUAUAAAUCUGACUUUUUACAAGAACAAAUGCAAACGAGGCAUUUCCUUGAAGGUGGUUUAUAUCAGGCACCUAAGGUGCCAACCAGAGAAACAUAUGAGAGUAAAAAUAUACACUUUAAGAAUUUCAGUCAUAUUUUUUCUAAGGCUGCAUGUUCUAGUUCAGCUAAAACGUAUGGAUACACUUGAAGCAGGAGUAGGGGGGGACAGGGAUCUUUAAACAAACUGAGUGAAGCCCAACAACUCCCAAGACAAAGGUGAAUAAGACUAUGUCAGAAAAGCAAGAAAAAAUAAAAAUAUGCUCACCUGCACAGUACAUGUCCAGAACAUCAUAUCAAGGCCAAGAGUACCAACUUUAGACAUCUAAUUUCUCAUUAUUUCAUAUCUUUCCUACAAACCAAUGAUUGUGUCGACUUCAAAACCAAACUUUUCAUGCACCGUGCUAAUUCUGUAAAGGACCGAUGCUAACUUUGGGGAUAAACUGAAUAGCCAACUAAAAUAUAUUUUCUUUUUUUAAAAAAAAUAAGAAAAUACAAGGACAGCUUCAACAAUUCAAUAAAUACCAGAAUUAUCGAUGCUCAAAUAAAUUGAACAGUUACAAGAUAUAAUGGUGACCAAGUAAUGGAGUGAAAGGACAUCUAUCAAUUACUGCUGGGCAGACACCACUAUUCCCAGUUUAGACAGACCAAAAGGCUCUUUUGACUAGUAUAACUUUCAGUUUAACAAAAUAGCAAGCUGCAGUUUGCUACUCUGUAAAUUAUAGCAGCAAGUGAUUAACAAUAGGAUUACUCUAUCUACUACAAACAUAUAACAUCAGAAAAACAGAGAGCACUUUGAUCUGCAGAUUGCAUCAGAAAGACAAAGUAGCAUGACUUGUCUGAUUAAUAAUGUUUUAGUGCUACUGUUAAUAGCCUGCCUUCAAAACUGCUAGAAUAAAUUAACCACAGAUAUAAAAGGCAGUCAUGGGACUUGAAUUGAGUAUCUAACAUGAACAAAAUGUAUCUGGUUUUACGGAAUCACUGAUUAUAUGAUUUGAUACUGAAUUAGAAAAAAUAGCAGGAUAGCACUUAGUCAAGUGUUUGCACUACUCUCCAUUCAAGACUCUGUAAAUAGAUUGAUGAAGAUACUCACCUGAACAGUGACUUAGUUUUCUUUUUUCCGAUGGUCUGAAUCUAUAGAAAUUCAGUCACAAAAAUUCAGUACAUUGGUUGACACGUAAAUAAAGUUGCUUUUCUAAGUGAGACAUCUAAAUUUCAGUCACUUCAGACUUCAUGGUAACAAAAUCCAGCCACUUGGAAUGAUGUUAUACUGCUCAGAAUCUGCAAAGUAUUCUCAAGUAUGGUUUCUCUUUCUUUUAUUUGAAUUGGUAGAAAUAUUUAGACUGGGUGUCAAUUUUAUAGCAAUUGUUGUGAUGGCAGAAAAGCAAAAACACGUGAAGCUGCCUGUGAACGUUCUGCUUAUGAAGUGCAUCUAGCAUUUUUUCUAUAGUACUCUGCUCAUCGUAAAUAGUUAAGCAUCAAUGUUUGUGUACCUACUUUAUUUCAGAUGGGGAGAGAGCUAGGAAGGAAUCGAAGGCAUGCCUGCUUCUCACCAGGCGCAGGCGCUUGCAACACGGACACUAGGCGCAGGCGCUUGCAACACCGGACGGCCGCUCCACCACCGCUACGGGGGACGCCUCCGCAGACGAGCAGGCCCCAGACCAGCGUGGCCAUGCCACAGCCUGGCACGGGCGGCACGACCCCUCACGGCGCGGGCGCAGCCAGCCUACCGACGCAGGGUGCGUGGCCUCGCCUGGCGCGCGGCUCGGCGCGCCCGGCUCUAGCCCGGCGCGCGCGUGGCCCCCUGGCACCGCCGGCGCAGGCGCAGGGUGCGGCCGGCUUCCAUUCCUGGCGGCUCACCACCUUUCUUUUUCCUUGUUGUGUGUGUUUCCUGAGGAAGAAAAGAUCGGGAAUAGAAAGAAGGGGACGAAGUGGAU